rnacentral:lncRNA from 1 species
AUGCUACUGAGAUGGAUCCACCAGUGGAAGAGUUCCUGCAGCACCGAUGGACACACUCAGGGUGCCCACCACCACGAAAAGCCGUGUGACAGAGUCUUGAGCCUCAUUCUAAUAUCAUGCAUGCUGCAUUCAACCAACAUAAAUGCAAACAGAAAGACUGAAUUUAUGCCAGCAAGUCACAAUAAGCCGUGCAUUGGCAAAAUAUUUAAUCGUGCUGAAAUUGGAGGCCGCAUCCUCACACGUGGCUUUACUUUGGCAUUGCAAACUGCACAUCUUCUAAAGCUUCUCCGGGAGCACUGGCAAAGCCUUACACUGAGGACUAGUUCUAAUCUGUGGAGGGUAUGGAAGAGAAGGAAAGCGUGUCCAAGCAUGUCCGUUUUUUUUAACCAACAUCACCAUAGAGUCAUGGAAUCAUAG